AAAUUAUUUCAAUUUAAUAAAUGUUCAAGUAUAAAUAAAUAAAAAAAAAACAAGUAUUGCCCGAAAUGCUUCUACUGAUGGCGCGAGGUUUGAAUAGAAAUGCUCAAAAAUAAUUUUUUAUCCGCAAAUAUAUAUUUUUAAUAAUCUAAUCAUAAACAAAAUAUUUAUCAAAAGAUGCUUAGUUCUAAUUCUAUUUGUUGUUUGGAAUAAAUAUCAAAUAUUAAAUGAAUAACUUUUGAAUUUUGUGAAUUUGCUAUGCACGAAGCAAUGAUAUAUGGUAACACUACUGUGGUACAGGAACAGUAGGAUUAUCUAGGAUUAAAGAUGGCCGGUUGUCAACAAAGGGUGUUUGUGCUUUAUCUUGUUAGUAAACUUAGCAUUGAAAUAAAAUGGAAAAAUAUUUGAACGAUGCGUCAAAUGAAGAGGUUAGCAAGAGCACGCCGCUGUAUUGUCAUAGAAAAAUGAUACUGAAGAUAUAAAUCCAGUCAAUUUUACAAGAUCAAACACAUGAUGAUAUUUGGGAUCAUUUCGUGAAGAUUGAUGGUUCAAAAUAAUGCAUUCGGAGUUCAUCCCGCUUGUUAAAUUUGUGGAUGAAUUACAGUCACUGAAGAUGGGGACUAGUCUUGAAUUUAAAAUCUUCACAUAUAAUGAAGUGCGAUGAAACGGUAGUGAGAUGAGACAAGUCAUAUUCUUUUUUGCCCUAGGAGCACAUGGCAGAUCUUAGAAGUUACUUUAGUCAAGACAAUAUUUGAGGAGUACAAUUGUAAAUAGGUCAAGACUAGAGAAUGAUAUAGGUUCAGAAAUUAUAUCUGUUCCAUGUACAGUAGAAACUCGUUUACCCGGCUUUCGGUUAUGCAAACUACAAACCACGAGCAAUUUAUAUAUACAUGCAAAUAUUCAACUUGCACAUACAUACAAGUUUAUAGGUUUUUAGUAUAUGUAUGUUAUGUAAUCUAAGAAAAUAUAUAUGUACAUUUGUAAGAAAGUGUUUCUUAAUAAACACUAUUUUUGUUGUUGUCUAUGUAUGUACUUGUUAUUUUUAAU